GUAAACAGAACGCCUCAAUAAAGAUCUGCUGUGUUUCGACUGCUGUGAAUUACAGCUGUCCAUAUAUAUGUACAUAUGUAUGUAACUAUAAUUAUGGCCUCUUAUCACUUGGUAUUACGACACGUGGCAACACCUAAUUUCCAAUGACAAUGGCGUAACGAAAGUGUCGAUUUUUCAUUUGUUUACUAUAAUAUAUUUUUUUCCAUUUACUUUAACAUUUCACAGCUCUUUCUUUUUCAAUUAAUUAAUGCAUAGUUAUGUUUGCAUUUCAUAGUUACACGCGAUAUUUGACGGCGCUAAAAGAAAAAGGUUCCUCACUGCUGCAGUGAAUCCGUCCUGCUCCGAGGAUGAAACCUAAACACAAUUCUCUACUAGAAGAUAUUGUUCGCACAAUGAACUACGGUUGAAAAAAAAUCAAAAAUUGUCGAAUUACUGGCGUUUUUUAAGUUGAAUUUUAAUUAAAAUUUUGGUCGUUUCUAACUUGUAAAAUUUUUAAUUUUUGAUCAGCUCAGAAAACUGGACAGAACAUCCAAAAAAAAUUUGAUAGUGAUUUGAGCAUUUUUACUCAUUGUAAACACUGAAGCAAAUUUGAAAAAUGUAGUUUGGAGAAAAAUGCGCUCGAGAAUAAAUUGAUAGAGCUGAUUGAACUUUACGGCUACAAUUAAGAAGGCUGUAACUCAAUAA